GUCAAGGUGGCAGAGUAGUGCCUCAGGUUUAAGCCCUGAUUAUGAGUUUUCCUUUGACU
rnacentral:tRNA from 1 species